rnacentral:rRNA from 1 species
AUUGAACGCUGGCGGCAGGCCUAACACAUGCAAGUCGAGCGGAUGAAGGGAGCUUGCUCCUGGAUUCAGCGGCGGACGGGUGAGUAAUGCCUAGGAAUCUGCCUGGUAGUGGGGGAUAACGUCCGGAAACGGGCGCUAAUACCGCAUACGUCCUGAGGGAGAAAGUGGGGGAUCUUCGGACCUCACGCUAUCAGAUGAGCCUAGGUCGGAUUAGCUAGUUGGUGGGGUAAAGGCCUACCAAGGCGACGAUCCGCAGCUGGUCUGAGAGGAUGAUCAGUCACAGUGGAAAGGAGACACGGUCCAGACGCAUACGGGAGGCAGCAGUGGGGAAUAUGGGAGAAGGGGCGAAAUUCGGAAACAGCGAUAGCGCGGGGGAGAAGAAGGUCGUCGGGUGGGAAAGUCAUUUGGGUGGGAAAGAAAAGCAGCAGGUGAAUAACUCCCGGCGCUGACGGGAAAUAAAGAAGAAGAACCGGCGAACUUCGUG